GACGAACGCUGGCGGCGUGCUUAACACAUGCAAGUCGAACGGUGAAAGCGGAGCUUGCUCCGCUGGAUCAGUGGCGAACGGGUGAGUAACACGUGGGCAACCUGCCCCUGACUUCGGGAUAACUCCUCGAAAGAGGUGCUAAUACCGGAUACGAAUCCUGCAGGCAUCUGCGGGAUUGGAAAGUUUUUCGGUCAGGGAUGGGCCCGGGGGCUAUCAGCUUGUUGGUGAGGUAGUGGCUCACCAAGGCGACGACGGGUAGCCGGCCCGAGAGGGCUACCGGAGACACUGGGACUGAGGCCCGGCCCAGACUCCUACGGGAGGCAGCAGUGGGGAAUAUUGCGCAAUGGGCGAAAGCCUGACGCAGCAACGCCGCGUGAGGGAUGACGGCCUUCGGGUUGUAAACCUCUUUCAGCAGGGAAGAAGCGAAAGUGACGGUACCUGCAGAAGAAGCACCGGCUAACUACGUGCCAGCCGCCGCAGUAA
rnacentral:rRNA from 1 species